AUUGAACGCUGGCGGCAGGCCUAACACAUGCAAGUCGAACGAGUGGCGGACGGGUGAGUAAUGUCUGGGAAACUGCCUGAUGGAGGGGGAUAACUACUGGAAACGGUAGCUAAUACCGCAUACCAUCAGAUGUGCCCAGAUGGGAUUAGCUAGUUGGUGGGGUAACGGCUCACCAAGGCGACGAGCCAUAGCUGGUCUGUGAGGAUGACCAGCCACCCGGUAACUGAGACACGGUCCAGAAUCCUACGGUAGGCAGCGGUGGGGAAUAUUGCACAAUGUGCGCAAGCCUGAUGCAGCCAUGCCGCGUGUAUGAAGAAGGCCGUCGGGUUGUAAAGUACUUUCAGAGGGGAGGCGUUACCCGCAGAAGAAGCACCGGCUAACUCCGUGCCAGCAGCCGCGGUAAUUC
rnacentral:rRNA from 1 species